rnacentral:lncRNA from 1 species
AACUAAACACUCCAGGCCUACCCACUUCCAGGGGGGUUUUAAAGAAGAGACCCAUGCCUGGGCUUCCCAUGUGCAAGAUCUGCGGCUGUUCUUAGCAGCCAGCAUCCGUCUCGGGGAUCUUGAGGAGUGCUGGGAUGACAGGCUUGUGGCAGCAUGUCUUGUUUCCAUGGUGAUGGAGACUGAACCCAGGGCUUUGUGCAUGCCAGGCAAGCACUCUGCCAUCUCUUCUUUCAGAGCUUUGGUUUACUGUCUUGGACUUUACAGAUGGGACCAACAAUACAUCCCAUAGUACACGCAUGAACCCAGGACCACCUGCCCCAGGCUGUCACUGCCCAGAGUGGACUGGGCCCUCCUAUGUCAAUCAUUAAUCAAGAGAAGGAGCUUGGGGCUAUUUGGAGAAUUAAAUAUCCAAGUUGC